UCACUUGAGAGUGAGGAGGCAGAAGCUAAUCCUCCUAACAAUGAUUUUCCUCUUGCAGCAUUUCUUCCUGCUGGCCACAGACUUAGUGCUUGCCAUGACCCUUUCCUGCCUCUUUUAUGCCUUCGCGUGCGUUUCCAUCGCGUUUCUGACCUGCUGCGUUAUCAUCUUCUCCUUUGGCACCGCGGAGAGGAAUGUUGAUGUGAAAAGGAGAGCAAUUGUAAUUCUUGUGUCCAACAGUUCCAUUGGGAGGAUGUUUGCAAGGAACCUGGAUAAAGCAGGUUUCGGGGUGUCUGCUGCACAAUGGUCUGCUCAAGAGGCGAGGACAGUGACAGAAGAGUGCUCAUCGAACAAGGAGGUAGCCCAGCUCCAUCUGACUGAAGAUGAGUAUCAGAAGACAGUGAAAACCUUCAUAGAAAGCCACUUAUCCCUGAAAGGCAUGUACGGGAAGAUGAGGAAGCCGUCGAUCCUGAUAUGGGAUGAAGGGACAUCAGACACACGUGGGGUACCUGAGAGAAAAACCUCCUGUGAGGGGAAGAAAGCUUUCAAGGCUCCACGCAGGAACUGCUUAUUGCAGACAGCUCUCUGCAUCUCAAUCCUCUUUCACCCACUGACCUGUGUCUUGAGUUUCCUGAAGAGAAGCCCACAGCUGCUCGUGCCUCUGCUGAAGUCCAAAAACUGACAGGACCAGCAGAACAAACUUCAAACGCCGAUCAAAACCUUAAAUACCCACUGCUACGGCUGAAUCCUUGUUUCAGAAGGGAUCUCCCACUCCUCUGCCUCUUUUCCAGUGGAUGUGAGAACCUGUCCACCCCUACAGAGAGGACAGUGAAACUGAUAGGAGCAUUACAGAGUGUGACUUGGGGAAAAGAGAAAGUCAAGGGGUCUGGAGUUCUAAUCCAGUGCUCCAGACAGGCUUUGGAUAAUGCUGCUGACUGAUCGUCCCACAACAUUUGAACUUGAGCAUUUCUGUUAAAGAAAUCUUAACAUUUUCAAGAGCUUGGGUUUAGGAAACUGAGAUCAAGCCAAUUAGACAUUGGUUGUCCCACCAAUUAGUCAGUUUUCCUAAUGAGGAGAAUUCAGUGAAACUGCUUUCCUGGGAGCUUGUUUAUAAAGCAAGUUCAGAAGUCAAGCAAAAAAUCCAGUUACCUUGGUUAUUCCCUAUUUGCAGUACUACUUCUGCUGCUGCUUGGAGAGCUGUCAGAAACCUGUUCUACAUUACUGCUCUCUAUCAGCCUCCAAAACCAUCACUGAGGGGCUCAGGCAAAGUUGAACAAAAUCAACAACUGGUACUUCACACACUACUUAUCAAGUGAGUUUCAAGUUAGAUAUUGUGAUUUACUCCUUGCUGCAUGCACCCUCCUACCCUGUUCUUCUCUGUACUCACACAUAUAAUACUUGUUACCCUAGAAAGUUACACUUACACAUUCAAUGCUUCCAAGAUGGAAAAACUCUGGAUAACUAGAGCUGUACUGCUAAGAAAACAAGAUACCCUUUCCAUUGAGAUGAUAUUACUGGCUCAGACUUAGUUAAGUCAGCCUGGAUUUAUGCUGGUAGAUUAGUGUAAAUCAGUCCCAAUAGAACCAGAGGUCUAGAAUGGAUUUCCAGAGAUUAUUUAGUCCUCUGGUCUGGGUAGGGGAGGACAUGCAAAGGCCAUUCCUGACAGGGUCUAGCUUAUUUUGAAAGAGUCACAGACCUCUCCCAGGAAAUCUGCUCCAGUCCUUCACACUCCCUUAGAAUCAGAUUAGUUACUAAAAAUAAAGUGCCCUGAUUUUCCCCGGAAGCAAUUUAGCCCAAAGAUUCUUAUCUUAACUGCCAGGGUCAGGAAGACCAAAUUAUUGCCUUUUUCCUUCACAGCAGCUGCCAGUGUUUUGGGGAGAAAUAGAGUCUUCCCCUCAGCCUCUCUCUCCUGAGGAUGAAACCCCCACCAUCUUCCCUAGCAAAUCAAGCCUUUUAGACCUUGGAUCAGUCUUCCUGAGCCUUUUCAUACUCAACCCAGUCCAGCUCAACUUUGAAGUACCCUAGGCAAAAGCAAUGCUCCUGCUUGCUGGAUUAUUGCACUUGCCACAGGGGGAACAGUCCUGCUCACACACUUCAUGUGCCUUUUCCGUAACAGCAUGGUGUUUAUUGAUGAUCAGCUUGUGAGCCAUCAAAAUCUUUCAUCUUUAUUGAUAAGUCACCUACACAUGUAGCUGUUGGUCCCCAACCUGUCCUAACUACAGAAUAACCUAUAUGGAGAGUUUAUUGUGAUACAUAAAUCUGUUUCAGGAGAGGGACAAUGCACUGUUAAAGCUGCAUGGCAAGAUGAUUUUGGUGGGUUUUUUACCACCUCUCCACCUGCAAGCCUCAUACUGAAUUCUAACCCUGCCCAGUGUGCUCACAGCUUUCCCAAAGUGUUGCCAGCUGCAAGUUUAAAGUGCAUUCUCCCUCUUGCCUCAGCCAUCCCAUGAAAGACAAAAUAAAACCCCCCCUAAAACACAUCCCUGUCAAUUUUCCAACCAGUUUUGCAUCCAAAUAUUUUCAGCCAUAUCAUCAUUAUAAGGGCACAUGUGAAGCAGCUUCAGAAUUCAAAUCUUUGAGUCUCGUGUCACAAAAAAAAAUUUUGCUGCCUGUUACUCAUCCCCUCAAUUACUUUUAGGUGCUCUCCAAUAGUUUGGUUAUUUGUUCCAGUGUUUUUCCAGGAACUAAAGGUAAGCUGGCAGGUCUGUAAUUCUAGACCUGCUUGUUAGCACCACUUUUGGACCUACAGCUCAAACCUGCACUACUGGGCUUUGCUCCAACAGACCACUUUAGCCCAUAUUUAAUUAAGAGGGAGAGACAUCUGUGGCUGUAGAGUGGUUGAGUCACAUGCUUAUUGCUACACAUGUGCUUGGAUGUUUUACUUGUUCCUAAGAAUAGAUACAUAUAAAAAAAUCAAACAAAAAAACCCAACACACUAAACCCAAGCAAAACAGAGAUGUAUUUUCAUACAAUGCUUACAACUUUAAGAAUGGAAAUAGCAAGAAAUACUAAACAUUGAUUUUUCACUGAUCCUAGGAGAUCAUUCUCCAAUGCUCUGUGAUCAUCUCCACUAUGGUGACUUCUCCUGCUGCUUCAUUCUCUUGUUUUGUUAGAUCUCUCUCAAAUCUCCCAUAAUACCUAUUACAUUAUGCCUCCAGCACAUUCUUCAGCCUUAUUAGUUCUUCCUUUAAGGGAGAUAAUGAAUUGAUUAGAUGUCACUUAAUCUGUCAUGAACUGCUAUUGACACCUCUUGCAGCAGCAUUCUGUGCAUUCCAAGGGUGUUUUUAUGCUUCUGAAAGAGAGAGUACUGACAGCUCUGGAGAGCAAGAUUGAUCUCACUCCCAGGCCAGCUCUGUCCAGAGCAGCUCAGACCAACAGAGCUCUUACAUCUCCUGACUUCAGGAUUACCUCAAGCAACAUCCCAGAAGGAAACAGCACAUUGAAAAUGGUCAAAGGACCAGCACACAGCAACAGAGCUCUCCCAGACUCCUCUGCUGCUCCCCAUUGUCCCCUCCAACCUCUCCUGAUCCCUGCCUAAGGCAGUUUGCUUAAACACAGCCCUUGAUCUCAUGCUGCUGAAGCAAAUGAACCACUUACAGCAGUGGAGUGAGCUGGACUGCCCUCCCCACUGGUAAUUCCUCAGCUCUGCCAGCCCAAUGGAUAAUUGUCAUUGGAACAGAGUCAAUGGAUCAUCAGGUGCUGAGUCCCAGCCCCUAACUCCCAUCAGUUUUGCUCUGCUGGGUUUUCCUUCUUUCUGUUGCUGCUUGUUCCUCCCUUCCAAGCUCAGGAUGGAUGUGGUCAGUCAGGUUUUCUUCCACACCUCUUCUAUCUAAUUUCUUAACAUUCUCUCCACAUGAAUUAUUUCCCCAGAUCAGCAAAGAGACCUCAAACCACACUGCUUAUUCCAGAUUAAAUUUAUCUUAUGCAUACAGAAUUGGGGAGGAAUUCCAGCUACCAGAGCUCUCUUGCAAGCUAAUUAUUCUUCAAAGAAGUUUUAGGCAGUCCUGGGGAGCAUCUAACUAUUGAUUUUCUACUCUGUAUAAUUUCUCUGCAAAAUGUAAUCAUUCUCCUCCUUUCUCAUACUGUCACUUGUCUCUCAGAACAACCUGGGAACAAUAAAAUAGUGGGAUAGAGGGCACCAAGAAGGGCACCAUCAAAAAAGAUAUAUCUCUGUGCAAGCAGGGGCUGUAAAAGCAAACCCAAGAAAUGUCUGUAGACCUUGUUUAAUAUUCAUCAGCCAGUGUAGGGUAUAACUGAAACCCAAAUGUAACUGUUCUGAAAAUUCAGGCUAGAAGGAAAUCAAAUGGAGACAGCGCUCUCAGUGUGCUGCCAUUUCAGAGUUUCUCAUUUCAGGAUUUCUAGAAUAAAUGUACCACAGAGGGAAAUGUUAUUGAAUACAUUGGUUGCUUACAAAUGGCUACAUUUUUAUAGAAAUACACUUACUGGGAAAAAAAAAAAAAUUGGCAAUCAGAAACUCCAAAGAACUGGCCUAGUAUAAAUCUAUUCCUAAAACACAAUUUUAUGGAACAGCAAAAUAAAAAUGGAAUUGAGACCAGCACAUCUUAAAAAUCCUGUUGUGCAAUAUUAAGCUGGGGUUUUUCCUCCAUCUCCUUGCACAAGAAAUUGUGAUACAUGAUUAACUUAAUGAACAUUAAGAAUGCCUUUUGGCUUCAGAAAUUUAGCACCUUUAAAUACACCUGUAAUCAGAAUAUUUAAGCAGAUACUGAAUUCCCUGCUGCUGUUUAAUUCCUGUGUGUUUGCUAUGAGCUCCAGCCUAUUUAAGGACACCAGGGAAUCAUGCUGAGGGACAGGCAGGCUCUGGAGGGGCCAGAACCGCCUUGAUCAUAAUCAGGCGACACAGACAGGAAGAUAAGGGCUUGUGAGGAGGGAACAGGGAGAACAGGGCAAAGCACUACUGCUCUUCAGUUCAGGGGUUUAGGAAAACACCUUUUUUCAGCUUCUGAAAAAAAAGGGCCUGUAUGUUUUCAUAAAUGUAGGAUAAUAUGAGGAGGCAGGGCAAAGGGCUCAGAAACUGCCCUAAACAAUAACAUUUCCAUCCUGUUAUCCUCAAAGAGCUGGCCCUGCCAGCCAUGAACUCCCUCUCUGAACCCAGAACCUGGCUGUCUGUGCUGUCCCAGUGCAGGGCCAAGGAGGUAACCCCAUGCAGUUGUUCAAAGAUGUCAGGCUGGACAGUGCUUCUGGCAGCUGGAGAUGGAACUGUGUCAGAAAAGCCAAACCUUCUUUUCCCUGGGCUUUCCAGGAGGAAACCAGACCUAUUGAUUAAUUCCUUUUGCAUAAUGUGAGUGAGGUUUGGGACCAGAGGCAGGUGGGUGAGUGGUAGCUGCUGUCUCGAGUCACUCUCUGUGGGUUUCACAUUGCACCAGUGAGCUUAGCAGCAAAUUUCACUGUUUCUUCUGUUCAAAAGCCUUUCUGCUGUCUAUGAUACAGCUCCUCUUGCACCCCUCCAACUCUAAAAUAUAUUUCCAUCCUUUGGGCUUUUUUUUUUGGCUUUUUUUUUUGGCUUUUUUUUUUUUUUUUUUUUGAGGGGACAUCAGUGUCUGCAUGUAUUAUUCUUGUCCUGCACACAGGACGACUCAGACUUGUGAAUAAGGAAACCAGGCUUCUCUGUCACGUUCAUCUGAUUUGAUCUGUUCUCUUAGACCACUUCUCCUGCACUUCCUUACCCAUCCUUGUGCUCUCACUACCAGCUGAUACACUGCUAAGAAAAGGCAAAUUAUACUCAGUACAAAAUUGCAGUGUAAUUUCCACCAAGCUAUUUCCAAUAGAAAUUGGUGUCUUGGAUCCUCCAGCCUGGACCAACUGGCAAAUGAUGUGCCACCUUCUGGGCUGUCCUUGAACAGCUGAACACAAGGGCAAUAGGAAUUUCAACCACCCAGUCUCUGAUUUAUACCCUUAGCUAGAGAGGGAUGACAGUAAAAUUAUCCACACUUUCCCCUGUACCAGCACUUCUCAGGAUGACAGACCUGGGUGCUUUUCCAGCAGACUCCUGGCUGUGCUGGUCAUCACCUCAAAGCAUGAUCUGCCCUUCACAUGAAUGUCACUAUACUCUAGAAAUACACAGUGAUCUGGGGUUAUUCAGCAGCAGCAUCACCACGGGUUCUGUCCAGGAUGAACAAACACAAGCCCUUCUGAGGCCUGUAAACUGAUGGCCCCACGGAGCAGGGAAGAGAGAUGCUUUUUGCUAAGAGAAAGAGCAGCACCCUCCUGUGCUCAUGUAUAUUUAUUGCACUGCAAACUCAGCUCUUUUGCUGCUCAUCAGCACGAAGUAUUUUUUGGCCAUCAGCCUCCUGGGUCUCUUUCAUUGCAUCCCCCUCCAGCUGUGUUUUCAGGGAUGGAACUUUUCCGCUAUUCUUCUAAAUCAUCCCAGCCCGCCUGGUUUCCCGGCGGUAUUUCCUGCUUGUCCGUUUGUCUGGCUUGCUCCCUGCCCGUCGGAUCCUGGCUGAUGUGCGGGCGCUCGGCAUUAUCGAACCCCUGAACCUGGGGCAGAGGGUGCUGCCCGGGGCUGCAGGGCAGAGGCCACUGCUGCCUGCACAGGGGAGGGAGAAGGUGUUCAGGACA